GAAMAUCCGNCGACUUUAGAAAUCGUGAGGGUUCAAGUCCCUCUAUCCCC
rnacentral:tRNA from 1 species